GACGAACGCUGGCGGCGUGCCUAAUACAUGCAAGUAGAACGCACAGUUUAUACCGUAGCUUGCUACACCAUAAACUGUGAGUUGCGAACGGGUGAGUAACGCGUAGGUAACCUGCCUGGUAGCGGGGGAUAACUAUUGGAAACGAUAGCUAAUACCGCAUAAUAUUGAUUAUUGCAUGAUAAUUGAUUGAAAGAUGCUAUUGCAUCACUACCAGAUGGACCUGCGUUGUAUUAGCUAGUAGGUGAGGUAACGGCUCACCUAGGCGACGAUACAUAGCCGACCCGAGAGGGUGAUCGGCCACACUGGGACUGAGACACGGCCCAGACUCCUACGGGAGGCAGCAGUAGGGAAUCUUCGGCAAUGGACGAAAGUCUGACCGAGCAACGCCGCGUGAGUGAAGAAGGGUGUCGGAUCGUAAAGCUCUGUUGUAAGAGAAGAACGGGUGUGAGAGUGGAAAGUUCACACUGUGACGGUAGCUGACCAGAAAGGGACGGCUAACUACGUG
rnacentral:rRNA from 1 species